CGCCUCCUGCACUAAAUAGGAGGUCCAGCCUGCCCAGUGACCAAGUUAAACGGCCGCGGUACCCUAACCGUGCGAAGGUAGCGCAAUCACUUGUUCUUUAAAUGAGGACUAGUAUGAACGGCAUCACGAGGGUUACACUGUCUCCCACCUCUAAUCAGUGAAACUGAUCUCCCCGUGAAGAAGCGGGAAUAAAACUAUAAGACGAGAAGACCCCAUGGAGCUUUAAACCCAGCACCAACCACCAAUUACUAAACCAUAAAAAACAGGUGACUCUGGCUGCUAGUUUUCGGUUGGGGUGACCACGGAGUAAAACACAACCUCCAUGAUGAAUGACCUCCCAUUCUAAUCCAAGAGCUACAACUCGAAGAAUCAAUAAAUUGACAUCCAUUGACCCAAACAAUUUUGAUCAACGAACCAAGUUACCCUGGGGAUAACAGCGCAAUCCAUUUCAAGAGCUCCUAUCGACAAAUGGGUUUACGACCUCGAUGUUGGAUCAGGGUAUCCCAGUGGUGCAGCCGCUACUAAAGGUUCGUUUGUUCAACGAUUAAAACCCU
rnacentral:rRNA from 1 species